AGGGAAUAGAAUAAACAGAGGCAUGGAACAAGAAGCAGAAGGUGGCCUGUCUUAGGCCAGUGAGCAGCCAGCACGUGUGACAGGCUUGGGCUGAAGCAGGCAUGGAAAAGAGACAGGGAGAUUCUAAUGAAGUCAUCAGAGGUCAUGGGCUGGCAGGAACAAUAGCUAAGGUGUCUCGUUGUCUCAUCCUCUCUGGUGUUUCUGGACCUGUGAUGGCUGGCUGGCCCAGCUCUGCCUCUGGUUGGACAGUCACCACCUUCGAAGGGAACUUCUCUUAAGGCAACAAUGGUAAAGUUGGGACUCAUCCCAGUACACACCUCUCUGAGUCUCUUUCCCUCCCAACUCAUCAUAAGCACCGACUCUCGGCCGCUCCUCCCAGGAGAUGAA
rnacentral:lncRNA from 1 species